rnacentral:rRNA from 1 species
AGAAGCUUGCUUCUCGCUGACGAGCGGCGGACGGGUGAGUAAUACUUAGGAAUCUACCUAGUAGUGGGGGAUAGCUCGGGGAAACUCGAAUUAAUACCGCAUACGACCUACGGGAGAAAGGGGGCAACUUGUUGCUCUCGCUAUUAGAUGAGCCUAAGUCGGAUUAGCUAGAUGGUGGGGUAAAGGCCUACCAUGGCGACGAUCUGUAGCUGGUCUGAGAGGAUGAUCAGCCACACCGGGACUGAGACACGGCCCGGACUCCUACGGGAGGCAGCAGUGGGGAAUAUUGGACAAUGGGGGCAACCCUGAUCCAGCCAUGCCGCGUGUGUGAAGAAGGCCUUUUGGUUGUAAAGCACUUUAAGCAGUGAAGAAGACUCCAUGGUUAAUACCCAUGGACGAUGACAUUAGCUGCAGAAUAAGCACCGGCUAACUCUGUGCCAGCAGCCGCGGUAAUACAGAGGGUGCAAGCGUUAAUCGGAAUUACUGGGCGUAAAGCGAGCGUAGGUGGCUUGAUAAGUCAGAUGUGAAAGCCCCGGGCUUAACCUGGGAACGGCAUCUGAUACUGUUAGGCUAGAGUAGGUGAGAGGAAGGUAGAAUUCCAGGUGUAGCGGUGAAAUGCGUAGAGAUCUGGAGGAAUACCGAUGGCGAAGGCAGCCUUCUGGCAUCAUACUGACACUGAGGUUCGAAAGCGUGGGUAGCAAACAGGAUUAGAUACCCUGGUAGUCCACGCCGUAAACGAUGUCUACUAGUCGUUGGGUCCCUUGAGGACUUAGUGACGCAGCUAACGCAAUAAGUAGACCGCCUGGGGAGUACGGCCGCAAGGUUAAAACUCAAAUGAAUUGACGGGGGCCCGCACAAGCGGUGGAGCAUGUGGUUUAAUUCGAUGCAACGCGAAGAACCUUACCUGGUC